rnacentral:rRNA from 1 species
AUUGAACGCUGGCGGCAGGCCUAACACAUGCAAGUCGAACGAGUGGCGGACGGGUGAGUAAUGUCUGGGAAACUGCCUGAUGGAGGGGGAUAACUACUGGAAACGGUAGCUAAUACCGCAUACCAUCGGAUGUGCCCAGAUGGGAUUAGCUAGUAGGUGGGGGAAAGGCUCACCUAGGCGACGAUCCCCAGCUGGUCUGCGAGGAUGACCAGCCACCUUGGAACUUGGGAACGGUCCCAACUCCGACGGGGUGCAGGAGGGGGGAAUAUUGGACAAGGGGCGCAAGCCUGAUGCAGCCAUGCCGAGGGUAUGAAGAAGGCCUUCGGGUUUGAAAGUACUUUCAGCGGGGAGGCGUUACCCGCAGAAGAAGCACCGGGUAACUCCGUGCCAGCAGCCGGGGUAAUAC